UACGUAGGGUGCGAGCGUUAAUCGGAAUUACUGGGCGUAAAGCGUGCGCAGGCGGUUUUGCAAGCCGGAUGUGAAAUCCCCGGGCUCAACCUGGGAAUGGCAUUUGGGACUGCAAGGCUCGAGUGCGGCAGAGGAGACUGGAAUUCCUGGUGUAGCAGUGAAAUGCGUAGAUAUCAGGAGGAACACCGAUGGCGAAGGCAGGUCUCUGGGGUGACACUGACGCUCAUGCACGAAAGCGUGGGGAGCAAACAGG
rnacentral:rRNA from 1 species